ACAGUGCAAAACAAAAUUAAAACUACCAUUACAAACCUAGGAAGUUCAGAAGAUCUUAAACCACGUGCAAUAAAAUAUUCUUGCAGACUAAAACAGAACAGCUCAGUAACGUUCCUAUUUCUUUAACAGUUGCACACAAUUUGAUUCAAAUUAUUCAAAUUGAAACAGGUGACGAGGGUCCGCCGCACCACCUGGCGGACUUAUUAAGUAUCAACAAAAACCGAUCAAGUUGAAGUUAAAAUAUAACUGUUAUGGAUGGAUGUAAAAAUAAUCUUGAAGCAGGAAAAUCGUAAAUUUUUUUAUAAAGACGGAUAUGUGAAGCCGACUAUCUAGUCGAAAAAUUUAACCGAAAACGUUAUCCGAAAACGUCAACAAUAGAAAAACAUGGCGACUCUAUUUUCUGCAGCUGGAUCUAAAAAUCAAAAGUCAUAAAUUGACUUAAUCAGUAAGUACAAUGGACAAUAUGGAAAAUAUUAAGAUAUUUUCUGCUGAUCAAUAAAAAAACACAAGACGAAUUUAUAUGAACAAAAUACCUCACAAUAAAAUUGUGAAAACGUCGGUAAUUCCACUUGUCUCAAAAAUCUGUUUCUCGGGAUUUCUUUGUAUAUUGGAGCAAGGCUGGGAGGAAGGGAAGACCCCAACUACGCACUUGUGUCGUAGUAUAAAAAGCCAGCCUGCUUGAGUCGUUGCUUGUUAGUCUACGUUCGCCGUCACAAUUACCCAAUCUUUAAUAUCAGUCUAUUUCAGACUUUGUAAUAAUUAUCAUGUCAGAGACUCAUUUCGACGAGUUCGAGCAUUACAAUUUCUCCGAGGACAACAAACUUUACUCGAAUCACAGCGGCCGUCUGCGCACAAAGAAGGAGGCCGAGCAACACACCAACCGAUUCGAUCCUAAUGGACACACUCGUAAGAUAGAAACCAAGUUGCAAAAUACUGA